rnacentral:rRNA from 1 species
GAAUAUUGGACAAUGGGGGGAACCCUGAUCCAGCCAUGCCGCGUGUGUGAAGAAGGCCUUUUGGUUGUAAAGCACUUUAAGCGAGGAGGAGGCUACUCUAGUUAAUACCUAGAGAUAGUGGACGUGACUCGCAGACUCAGCACCGGCUCACUCUGUGCCAGCAGCCGCGGGAAUACAGAGGGUGCCAGCGUUAAUCGGAUUUACUGGGCGUAAAGCGCGCGUAGGUGGCCAAUUAAGUCAAAUGUGAAAUCCCCGAGCUUAACCUGGGAAAUGCAUUCGAUACUGGUUGGCUAGAGUAUGGGAGAGGAUGGUAGAAUUCCAGGUGUAGCGGUGAAAUGCGUAGAGAUCUGGAGGAAUACCGAUGGCGAAGGCAGCCAUCUGGUCUAAUACUGACACUGAGGUGCGAAAGCAUGGGGAGCAAACA